UACGUAGGGUGCGAGCGUUAAUCGGAAUUACCGGGCGUAAAGCGUGCGCAGGCGGUUUUGUAAGCCAGAUGUGAAAUCCCCGGGCUUAACCUGGGAAUGGCAUUUGGGACUGCAAGGCUUGAGUGCGGCAGAGGAGACUGGAAUUCCUGGUGUAGCAGUGAAAUGCGUAGAUAUCAGGAGGAACACCGAUGGCGAAGGCAGGUCUCUGGGCUGACACUGACGCUCAUGCACGAAAGCGUGGGGAGCAAACAGG
rnacentral:rRNA from 1 species